AUUGAACGCUGGCGGCAGGCCUAACACAUGCAAGUCGAGCGGAGCGGCGGACGGGUGAGUAAUGCCUAGGAAUCUGCCUGGUAGUGGGGGAUAACGUCCGGAAACGGGCGCUAAUACCGCAUACUAUCAGAUGAGCCUAGGUCGGAUUAACUAGUUGGUGGGGUAAAGGCCUACCAAGGCGACGAUCCGUAACUGGUCUGAUAGGAUGAUCAGUCAAACGGGAACGGAGCUGCGGUCCAGACUCAUUCUGGUGGCAGCAGUGGAGAAUAUUGGACAUUGGUGUCUAGCCUGAUCCAUCUAUGCCGCGUGUGUGAAGAAGGUCGUCGGAUUGUAAUGCACUUUAAGUUGGGAGGCGUUACCACCAGAAUAAGCACCGGCUAACGUCGUGACAGCCGCCGCGGUAAUUG
rnacentral:rRNA from 1 species